CCAUGGCUUUAGUGGGUUCAAAGAAUGUCAAAUCAGCAAAGAUGAAGAGCAACAUGGAAACCAGCAAAGAUGAAAUGAUGAAGUGUCUCAAACAAAUACAAGAUAUCAACAGUAAAAUAGUGAGUGG